GAUGAACGCUGGCGGCGUGCCUAAUACAUGCAAGUCGAGCGAACGGACGAGAAGCUUGCUUCUCUGAUGUUAGCGGCGGACGGGUGAGUAACACGUGGAUAACCUACCUAUAAGACUGGGAUAACUUCGGGAAACCGGAGCUAAUACCGGAUAAUAUUUUGAACCGCAUGGUUCAAAAGUGAAAGACGGUCUUGCUGUCACUUAUAGAUGGAUCCGCGCUGCAUUAGCUAGUUGGUAAGGUAACGGCUUACCAAGGCAACGAUGCAUAGCCGACCUGAGAGGGUGAUCGACCACACUGGAACUGAGACACGGUCCAGACUCCUACGGGAGGCAGCAGUAGGGAAUCUUCCGCAAUGGGCGAGAGCCUGACGGAGCAACGCCGCGUGAGUGAUGAAGGUCUUCGGAUCGUAAAACUCUGUUAUUAGGGAAGAACAUAUGUGUAAGUAACUGUGCACAUCUUGACGGUACCUAAUCAGAAAGCCACGGCUAACUACGUG
rnacentral:rRNA from 1 species